UUUAUUUGAAAACGGUUGAUUUGAUACUUUCUAUUUAGUAUACAAUUUCUAUCCGCAGUUUUCAAAUAGAUAUAUCCUCAAUUGAAUAAGAAAAGAAUGUUCAAAACUUUUUGCGUUUCUCUUUUUAAGUUUACCUUACCAACUAGGCUUCCUUCAUUGUCCGUCCGUCCGCCGUCUAAAUUAAAUACAAUCUUCUUAUCUGAAACCACUAAACCGACAGUAUAAAACUUUUCCGUCCAUUUGACACACAAACACUAUUGAUAAGUAUAGAAUAGAAUUACCACUGAAACGUCCACUUUAAGUUUAUUUUGCAGUUUGUGUUUAUUAUCUUGUUAACUAUAAAAGAUCGAGGAACAGUUUAAAUGGUACAAAUAAUAGAACUAUAAGAUGAACAAAUAAGUCAACUGAUCAAAUUCUGAAAAUGAUAAUUUGAAGGAGUUAAUGCUUAUGAAAGACAAAAGAUGGAAAACAAUGCCUACCAAUUUUUCAUGUCUUCCGAAACUUUUAUUA
rnacentral:lncRNA from 1 species